rnacentral:rRNA from 1 species
GACGAACGCUGGCGGCGUGCUUAACACAUGCAAGUCGAACGGAAAGGCCCUGAUUUUGUGGGGUGCUCGAGUGGCGAACGGGUGAGUAACACGUGAGUAACCUGCCCUUGACUUUGGGAUAACUUCAGGAAACUGGGGCUAAUACCCGAUAGGAGCUCCUGCUGCAUGGUGGGGGUUGGAAAGUUUCGGCGGUAGGGGAUGGACUCGAGGGUUAUCAGCUUGUUGGUGGGGUAGUGGCUUACCAAGGCUUUGACGGGUAGCCGGCCUGAGAGGGUGAACGGCCACAUGGGGCCUGCGAGACGGAGCAGACUCCAACGGGAGGCAGCAGUGGGGAAUAUUGCACAAUGGGCGGAAGCCUGAUGCAGCAACGCCGCGUGCGGGAUGACGGCCUUCGGGUUGUAAACCGCUGUGGCAUGUGACGAAGCGUGAGUGACGGUAAUGGGUAAAGAAGCACCGGCUAACUACGUG